rnacentral:misc_RNA from 1 species
UUUCCGUAGGUGAACCUGCGGAAGGAUCAUUACCGUACGAAAGGUCGGGGGCAUGCGAAGGCUAUCGCUGACCCACAAUUCGUGCUCGCCCGAGUGUGUCCUCUUGCAUAUUCAUCCAUCUCACCCCUUGGGCAUCACCGCCUGGGCACCCUUCGGGAUCAUCUCGGAGGGGGGCUCGCGUUUACACACAAACCCCCCUAUUAAAAGUGUAGAAUGACCACAUUUAUGCAAUCAUUACAACUUUCAACAACGGAUCUCUUGGUUCUG